UGGGGACAAUGGGGACAGUGGGGGGCAAUGGGGACAGUGGGGACAGUGGGGGUCAAUGUGGGUCAGUGGGGACACUGGGGAACAAUGGGGUCAGUGGGGGUCAAUGGGGACAGUGGGGACAUUGGGGACAAUGAGGUGCAAUGGGGACAAUGGGGACAGUGGUAGUCAAUGGGGACACUGGGGACAAUGGGGGACAGUGGGGACAAUGAGGUGCAAUGGGGACAGUGGGGACAGUGUGGGUCCAUGGGGGACAAUGGGGGUGAGUGGGGACAACACGGGGGGGCAUUUGGGGACAGUGGGGGUCAAUGGGGACAAUGGGGGACAAUGGAGGACAAUGGGGAACACUGGGGACAAUGGGGACAGCGUGGGGCAGUGGGGACAAUGUGGGGACAGCGUGGGGCAGUGGGGACAUGGGGACG
rnacentral:lncRNA from 1 species